UACGAAGGGUGCAAGCGUUACUCGGAAUUACUGGGCGUAAAGCGUGAGUAGGUGGUUUCUUAAGUCUGCUGUGAAAUCCCCGGGCUCAACCUGGGAACUGCGUUUGUUACUGCAAGACUCGAGUGCGGCAGAGGGGGGUGGAAUUCCACGUGUAGCAGUGAAAUGCGUAGAGAUGUGGAGGAACACCGAUGGCGAAGGCAGCCCCCUGGGUCGACACUGACGCUCAUGCACGAAAGCGUGGGGAGCAAACAGG
rnacentral:rRNA from 1 species